UGGGGAAUUUUGGACAAUGGGGGCAACCCUGAUCCAGCCAUGCCGCGUGCGGGAAGAAGGCCUUCGGGUUGUAAACCGCUUUUGGCAGGAACGAAACGGUGCGGGCGAAUAACCUGUGCUAAUGACGGUACCUGCAGAAUAAGCACCGGCUAACUACGUGCCAGCAGCCGCGGUAAUACGUAGGGUGCGAGCGUUAAUCGGAAUUACUGGGCGUAAAGCGUGCGCAGGCGGUUGUGCAAGACAGGUGUGAAAUCCCCGGGCUUAACCUGGGAACUGCAUUUGUGACUGCACAGCUAGAGUUUGUCAGAGGGGGGUGGAAUUCCACGUGUAGCAGUGAAAUGCGUAGAUAUGUGGAAGAACACCGAUGGCGAAGGCAGCCCCCUGGGAUGAGACUGACGCUCAUGCACGAAAGCGUGGGGAGCAAACAGG
rnacentral:rRNA from 1 species